GUGUCAGCAGCCGCGGUAAUACAGAGGGGGCGAGCGUUGUUCGGAAUUACUGGGCGUAAAGGGCGCGUAGGCGGCCAACUAAGUCGGACGUGAAAUCCCCAGGCUCAACUUGGGAACUGCGUCCGAUACUGGAUGGCUUGAAUCCGGGAGAGGGAUGCGGAAUUCCAGGUGUAGCGGUGAAAUGCGUAGAUAUCUGGAGGAACACCGGUGGCGAAGGCGGCAUCCUGGACCGGCAUUGACGCUGAGGCGCGAAAGCCAGGGGAGCAAACGGGAUUAGAAACCCUUGUAGUCC
rnacentral:rRNA from 1 species